UACGUAGGAGGCGAGCGUUAUCCGGAAUUACUGGGCGUAAAGCGCGCGUAGGUGGCUUGCUAAGUCGGACGUGAAAUCUCCCGGCCUAACUGGGAGGGGUCGUCCGAGACUGGCCGGCUUGAGGCUGGCAGAGGUAGGUGGAAUUCCCGGUGUAGCGGUGAAAUGCGUAGAUAUCGGGAGGAACGCCGGUGGCGAAAGCGACUGUCUGGGGUGCAUGUGACGCUGAGGCGCGAAAGCCAGGGGAUCAAACGGG
rnacentral:rRNA from 1 species